rnacentral:lncRNA from 1 species
GGGUGUUAUUAUCAGUAGUCUGUUAAUUUAUGGUGUCACCAUCAGUGGUUUAUGAACUUACGAUGAAACCAUCACUGGUGUACGAAUUUUGGGCUUUAUCAUCACUAAUUUAUUAUUUAAGGUGUAACCAUAAGUAGGUGCGAAUUCAGGAUGUCAGGAUCUAUGAUGUGUGAACUUAUAUAUGCUUUCAUUAUUUAUAUAUUCU